ACGAACGCUGGCGGCGUGCCUAAUACAUGCAAGUAGAACGCUGAAGAGAGGAGCUUGCUCUUCUUGGAUGAGUUGCGAACGGGUGAGUAACGCGUAGGUAACCUGCCUUGUAGCGGGGGAUAACUAUUGGAAACGAUAGCUAAUACCGCAUAACAAUGGAUGACACAUGUCAUUUAUUUGAAAGGGGCAAUUGCUCCACUACAAGAUGGACCUGCGUUGUAUUAGCUAGUAGGUGAGGUAACGGCUCACCUAGGCGACGAUACAUAGCCGACCUGAGAGGGUGAUCGGCCACACUGGGACUGAGACACGGCCCAGACUCCUACGGGAGGCAGCAGUAGGGAAUCUUCGGCAAUGGGGGCAACCCUGACCGAGCAACGCCGCGUGAGUGAAGAAGGUUUUCGGAUCGUAAAGCUCUGUUGUAAGUCAAGAACGAGUGUGAGAGUGGAAAGUUCACACUGUGACGGUAGCUUACCAGAAAGGGACGGCUAACUACGUGCCAGCAGCCGCGGUAAUACGUAGGUCCCGAGCGUUGUCCGGAUUUAUUGGGCGUAAAGCGAGCGCAGGCGGUUUGAUAAGUCUGAAGUUAAAGGCUGUGGCUCAACCAUAGUUCGCUUUGGAAACUGUCAAACUUGAGUGCAGAAGGGGAGAGUGGAAUUCCAUGUGUAGCGGUGAAAUGCGUAGAUAUAUGGAGGAACACCGGUGGCGAAAGCGGCUCUCUGGUCUGUAACUGACGCUGAGGCUCGAAAGCGUGGGGAGCGGACAGGAUUAGAUACCCUGGUAGUCCACGCCGUAAACGAUGAGUGCUAGGUGUUGGAUCCUUUCCGGGAUUCAGUGCCGCAGCUAACGCAUUAAGCACUCCGCCUGGGGAGUACGACCGCAAGGUUGAAACUCAAAGGAAUUGACGGGGGCCCGCACAAGCGGUGGAGCAUGUGGUUUAAUUCGAAGCAACGCGAAGAACCUUACCAGGUCUUGACAUCCCGAUGCUAUUUCUAGAGAUAGAAAGUUACUUCGGUACAUCGGUGACAGGUGGUGCAUGGUUGUCGUCAGCUCGUGUCGUGAGAUGUUGGGUUAAGUCCCGCAACGAGCGCAACCCCUAUUGUUAGUUGCCAUCAUUCAGUUGGGCACUCUAGCGAGACUGCCGGUAAUAAACCGGAGGAAGGUGGGGAUGACGUCAAAUCAUCAUGCCCCUUAUGACCUGGGCUACACACGUGCUACAAUGGUUGGUACAACGAGUUGCGAGUCGGUGACGGCAAGCUAAUCUCUUAAAGCCAAUCUCAGUUCGGAUUGUAGGCUGCAACUCGCCUACAUGAAGUCGGAAUCGCUAGUAAUCGCGGAUCAGCACGCCGCGGUGAAUACGUUCCCGGGCCUUGUACACACCGCCCGUCACACCACGAGAGUUUGUAACACCCGAAGUCGGUGAGGUAACCUUUUGGAGCCAGCCGCCUAAGGUGGGAUAGAUGAUUGGGGUG
rnacentral:rRNA from 1 species